GACGAACGCUGGCGGCGUGCUUAACACAUGCAAGUCGAACGGUGAAGGGGUCUGCUUUUGUGGGCCCUGGAUGAGUGGCGCACGGGUGAGUAACACGUGAGUAACCUGCCCCCUUCUUCUGGAUAACCGCAUGAAAGUGUGGCUAAUACGGGAUAUUCUGGGUCUGUCGCAUGAUGGGUCUGGGAAAGAUUGCGCCUUUGGGUGUUUUUGGUGGGGGAUGGGCUCGCGGCCCAUCAGCUUGUGGGUGGGGUGAUGGCCUACCAAGGCGGUGACGGGGAGCCGGGCUGAGAGGGUGGACGGUCACAAUGGGACUGCGGCCCGGCCCAGACUCCUACGGGAGGCAGCAGUGGGGAAUAUUGCACAAUGGGCGCAAGCCUGAUGCAGCGACGCCGCGUGAGGGAUGGAGGCCUUCGGGUUGUAAACCUCUUUCGCCAGUGAAGCAGGCCUGCUCCUUGUGGGUGGGUUGACGGUAGCUGGAUAAGAAGCGCCGGCUAACUACGUG
rnacentral:rRNA from 1 species